UGAAGCUCCAGUACUAAAGGUAUCAGAUGC
rnacentral:piRNA from 1 species